CGCCCGGUAGCUCAGUGGUUAGAGCGCUGGCUUCCUAACGCCAGAGGACCGGGGUUCGAUUCCCCGUGUGGAGAUAUUUGGGUGU